UCGCGUGUCUUCCGAACUCUGCUGCUUCGCCCCGGCAAGAGCACUUCCUUCCGCGGCUGCUAAAACUGGUGCGCGGGUUCCCAACUUCGCAGAAGAGCUUCAUCGGCCCCCCGCUAGAGACCUCAGACCGCAGCCAUCGACGCCUCGCCUCGGGGAUCUGUCCCCACCCUCGGGGCCAGCUCACCAUGAGUCAGGCCCUGUGCUAGGUGCUGGGAUGAAGCAGUGACUGACACAGGCCUGGACCUGUCCUUGGGAAGAGUGCGUCUGUGACACAGAUACUGUGCCAUGUGGCAAAACUUGAAUGGAGACAUCAGCUCUUUGUGGGUCUCAAGUCUACUGGCUUUCAAUCAGCUCUUCUGCUUGACAGCUGCAGGUCUUGGGACUGCCCAGCCCCCAUAACCCUGUGAGUGCAUUCCUGAUAAUAACCCUCUUUCUCUUGUCCUCCCCCACCCCACAUCAUUGGUUCUGUUUCUCUGGAGAACCAUAAUACAUCAUUUACUAAUCAGGAAAUAGAUUCAGAGACAUUAAUAACUCAUCCAACCUCACAGUUAACUGUAGAGUUGGGCUUGAAAUUCCAAGGUCGAUUUUCUUAGCCAAUACACCAUGCUACAUAUAUGUAUGUAAAAAUAAAAACGCUUGUGAACU
rnacentral:lncRNA from 1 species